AUUGAACGCUGGCGGCAUGCCUUACACAUGCAAGUCGAACGGUAACAGGUCUUCGGAUGCUGACGAGUGGCGAACGGGGGAGUAAUACAUCGGAACGUGCCCGAUCGUGGGGGAUAACGGAGCGAAAGCUUUGCUAAUACCGCAUACGAUCUACGGAUGAAAGCAGGGGACCGCAAGGCCUUGCGCGGACGGAGCGGCCGAUGGCAGAUUAGGUAGUUGGUGGGAUAAAAGCUUACCAAGCCGACGAUCUGUAGCUGGUCUGAGAGGACGACCAGCCACACUGGAACUGAGACACGGCCCAGACUCCUACGGGAGGCAGCAGUGGGGAAUUUUGGACAAUGGGCGAAAGCCUGAUCCAGCCAUGCCGCGUGCAGGAUGAAGGCCUUCGGGUUGUAAACUGCUUUUGUACGGAACGAAAAGACUCUUUCUAAUAAAGAGGGUCCAUGACGGUACCGUAAGAAUAAGCACCGGCUAACUACGUG
rnacentral:rRNA from 1 species